ACUCAAAUAGUUUAAAUAAAAUGUUAGCUUGUGGUGCUUAAGAUGUAAUUUGUUACUUUGAGUA
rnacentral:tRNA from 1 species